GACGCUCGGCCGGAGGAGGAAGCGGCUGCUGGGAAUGGAGGAGUGCCCGGCUAAACUGGUCGUGUUACACAUUGUGGUGGUUGGCUUCCACCACAAGAAGGGCUGCCAGGUUGAAUUUUCAUAUCCACCGUUGGUUUCCGAAAAAGGACAUGAUGGUCACAGCUUACCUGAGGAAUGGAAAUACCUUCCAUUUCUUGCUUUGCCGGAUGGAGCACAUAACUACCAGGAGGAUACAAUUUACUUCCAUUUGCCUCCAAGGAGUGGGAAUGAAAAGACAGUUUAUGGUGUUUCCUGCUACCGCCAGAUCGAUGCCAAGAUCCUGAAGGUUCGUCAAGCAGAUGUCACAAGAGAAACCGUCCAAAAGAGUGUCUGUGUGCUCAGUAGGCUGCCACUCUAUGGGUUGCUCCAAGCCAAACUGGAGCUCAUCACACAUGCUUAUUUUGAGGAAAAAGAUUUUUCACAGAUUUCUAUCUUAAAGGAACUCUAUGAACACAUGAACAACUCUUUAGGAGGAAAUGCAUUAGAAGGAUCUCAGGCUUAUUUGAGUCUGUCUCCCCGUGACCUGGUUCUCCAUUUCAGGCAUAAGAUAAUAAUUCUCUUCAAAAUGAUUCUUUUAGAGAAAAGGGUUCUGUUUUACUUGUCACCGGUGAACCGUCUGGUUGGGACUCUGAUGACUGUACUGUCACUUUUUCCAGGAAUGAUAGAACAUGGUUUAGCAGAUUCAUCACAAUAUAAACCACGCAAGAGCACUUCCGAAGAUGUUUUCCAGGAACAUGGUCUAAAUACUGAAGAAUUUGUUUCCAUUUCAGUGUCAGAUGUUGCUGGAGUUACUUCAGAAUUUGGUUUAGAAGCAAAAUAUUCAGCAGGCGAUGAUGAGACAAAUGUUCCAGCAAAGGUGGUAACCUUUUCAGAUGUACAAAGGUCUGAACAAGGGGAUGAUAGACUGCAGCUGCAAUUACCACCUCCAGCACAUAUUUCACCUAACUCAUCUGAAAGUGAUUGGGAAACUUUGGACACAAGUGUUCUUGACGCAGACAAUGGGACAAAGGAAGAGAGACUGAAUGAUAAGACCAACCAAAAAGAGGUUUUUAUCUCAGAUUCUAUAGUUUCGCAGUUUUUACCAAUCACUGUGCAACCACAAGCAAAUACAGUUGAGACUGUGACAGCACCAGGUCUAAUAUCUGGUCUCAAGGAAGACCAGUAUGGAAUGCCCUUAGCUGUCUUUACAAAGGGUUAUCUUUGUUUACCAUAUAUGGCCUUGCAGCAGCAUCACCUUCUCUCUGAUGUCUCCGUGCGUGGAUUUGUUGCUGGGGCAACAAAUAUCCUUUUCCGACAGCAGAAACACUUGACUGAUGCGGUUAUUGAUAUUGAGGAAUCUGCCAUACAAAUACAUGAUUCAGAAUUACGCAAAGUAUUAAACCUCACCACAGCAGACUUGCGUUUCGCAGACUUUCUGGUGAAGCAUGUAACUGAAAAUAGGGAUGAUGUGUUUCUCGAUGGGACUGGUUGGGAAGGAGGAGAUGAGUGGAUCCGGGCGCAGUUUUCACUCUAUAUUCAUUCCCUUCUUGCCACAACUUUGCAGCCAGAUAAUGAAAGAAUGUUGGCAGACUAUGGCCUCCCGUUUGUUGCUGCCUGGAGGAAUACACACAACUUCAGAGUGUGGCACAGCAACAAGUACCCUGCUAUAACUCAAGUUCAUCCUGGCCAUCCAUUUCAGGGGCAGUACAAUGUAUCAGAUGUCAAAUUAAGAUUGUCACAGGACAAUAACGGACCAGUGAUGAAGGCAUUGACACCUGAGGAGGACACAGCACUGAAACUGAACACACACGAGUUCUGUGCAGAACAGUGAACGCGGGAAGAAGCUGGGAAAUGCAGUGAUUUCCACAAGUCGCAGUGUGAUGCAGACAGGAAAAGCAGUCGGUCAAUCUGUAGGAGGGGCACUCACAAGUGCCAAGUCUGCCAUGAGCUCUUGGUUUUCCACAUUCAACCAACAAUCUGCUGGACCCUUCUCUGAGAAGCAAACAGGGAAACACUGAGCACAUCAGGUGCAAGGAUGACUGCAUGUAUUGCACAUUCCAAUAUUAUUCUGCAGGGAGUUGGAACCCAUUAAUAACCAGGACUUUUACUGAUAAAUCGCAAUGUAUGUUCCCCUUUUCCAGUGCAGGUAACGGAUCAGAUGAAUUUUGCAUAUAGCUUCAGUUUGAGACCAAUGGUGUUUCCAUUAUUAGAUACUUGUUGGUUUAUGUAGUAUGUGUACUUUAGCCAACCUUCACUGAGUUGUAUUCCUUAUUUUACAUCAACACAGCAGAGGCUGGAGAUAAAUAAUAAUGUUCGCCUGUUUGGGAUUAACUGUUAAAGUGGUCAAAUAUAUUUUUCUUUCAUGUUUUUAAAAAAUUUUCCUUGAAUCAUAAGGAUGCUCUAGUAAACAUAAUCACUACCGUAAUUAAACCCAUUUCUGUUCUUAUUGAUUCUACCAAAGAGAUGCUGUGGAGUUUCCGUGUAGGACGGGGGUUCUUGGCAUAAAAAAGGUUGGGAAUCCCUGGAGUACAAUCUAUAGAGUAGCUGGGAUGUAAAUUUUUAAUCUGUUCAAUUUUAAGCAAUUCAGAUAUUGCAGAGCUUGUCUACGGAACAACCCUGCUUCUGAUUUAAAUUGCAUUUAAAUAAAAAGAAACUGUUCUGGGUCCAAUAGCUCCAUCUUUCAUCCAAGUAGUUAGUUUUAAAUACUGAACUGCAAUUUAUCAUGAAAAUUAACACUUAAUAUUUAUGCUUGUAAUGACUCUUGAUUUCAAACUAUCAAAUAUGUAACAUCUUAUAGUAAUUCAUUUAUAAAGAAUACAUUUUAAAAUGUACUCAAAAAUGAAAUACACUUGUAAAUAUGAUUACCCGGGUAAACUGCUAAAUUAACUUUUUCGUUGCUGAAAUUAAAAGUUUCAUUUUAUCUGAUCCAGAAAACUGAUACUGCUUUUAAUGCAGCCUUUCAAUUAGCACAUCCUUAAAGCAAAGUAUUCUAGAAGAAUGGAGCAUACAAGUGAAUUUAGAAUAAAUUUUACAUCUCAAGCCAUUUCUGCAUUGUUUUCUUUUGAAAGAAGUAGAAAUGAAUGUAUUUUUGUUUUGCAAUAUAGUGCAGUUCUGUUCAUUGGAUUAAAAUCUCUUUGGAAGCAGCUAAAGCCAAUUACAAAAUCUAACAACACACAUAAAAAUUGCUGGUGAAUGCAGCAGGUCAAGACCCUUGUCAAGAUAACUGGAAGAAGAGAUAGUACGAGACUUGAAAGUGGUAGGGGAAGGGGGAGAUCCAAAAUGUUA